rnacentral:rRNA from 1 species
GAAUUUUGGACAACGGGCGAAAGCCUGAUCCAGCAAUGCCGCGUGCAGGACGAACUCCUUCGGGUUGUAAACUGCUUUUGUACGGAAAGAAAAGCUUUUGCUUAAUACCCUGGAGUUAUGACGGUACCGUAAGAAUAAGCCCACGCUAUCUCCGUGCCAGCUGCCGCGUUAAUGCGUAGGGUGCACGAGUUAAUCGGAAUUACUGGGCGUAAAGCGUGCGCAGGCGGUUUUGGAAGACAGAGGUGAAAUCCCCGGGCUCAACCUGGGAACUGCCUUUGUGACUGCAAGGCUAGAGUACGGCAGAGGGGGGUGGAAUUCCGCGUGUAGCAGUGAAAUGCGUAGAUAUGCGGAGGAACACCGAUGGCGAAGGCAACCCCCUGGGCCUGUACUGACGCUCAUGCACGAAAGCGUGGGGAGCAAACA